CCUACGGGGGGCAGCAGUGGGGAAUAUUGGACAAUGGGCGAAAGCCUGAUCCAGCCAUGCCGCGUGUGUGAAGAAGGCCUUCGGGUUGUAAAGCACUUUCAGUGGGGAAGAAAGCCUUGGGGCUAAUACCCUCGAGGAAGGACAUCACCCACAGAAGAAGCACCGGCUAACUCCGUGCCAGCAGCCGCGGUAAUACGGAGGGUGCGAGCGUUAAUCGGAAUUACUGGGCGUAAAGCGCGCGUAGGCGGUCUGAUAAGCCGGUUGUGAAAGCCCCGGGCUCAACCUGGGAACGGCAUCCGGAACUGUCAGGCUAGAGUGCAGGAGAGGAAGGUAGAAUUCCCGGUGUAGCGGUGAAAUGCGUAGAGGUCGGGAGGAAUACCAGUGGCGAAGGCGGCCUUCUGGACUGACACUGACGCUGAGGUGCGAAAGCGUGGGUAGCAAACAGGAUUAGAUACCCUGUAGUC
rnacentral:rRNA from 1 species